UACGUAGGUGGCGAGCGUUGUCCGGAUUUACUGGGCGUAAAGAGCGCGCAGGCGGUCGUUCAAGUCGCGUGUGAAAGCCCCCGGCUCAACUGGGGAGGGUCACGCGAUACUGAUCGACUCGAAGGCAGGAGAGGGAAGUGGAAUUCCCGGUGUAGUGGUGAAAUGCGUAGAUAUCGGGAGGAACACCAGUGGCGAAGGCGGCAUCCUGGACCGGUAUUGACGCUGAGGCGCGAAAGCUAGGGGAGCAAACGGG
rnacentral:rRNA from 1 species